GGUCGACUAGCUCAGUUGGUUAGAGCGCCGAGCUAAUAACUCGGAGGUCCUGGGUUCGACCCCCAUGUUGACCA
rnacentral:tRNA from 1 species